AAAGCUAAAUAGAUAUGAGUAAUUAAUAGAUUAGGUUAAGUUAGCUUACGAAAACGAUAAAGCUAGAUAAAUCCAAGCGUAGUUAAUAAGUUAAGUUAGCUUAAAACGAUAAAGCUAAAUAGAUAUGAGUAAUUAAUGGGUUAGGUUGAGUUAGCUUACGAAAACGAGAAAGCUGAAUAGAUCCAAGCGUAGUUGAUAAGUUAGGUUAGCUUAAAACGAUAAAGCUAAAUAGAUACGAGUAAUUAAUACGUUAGGUUAAGUUAGCUUACGAAAACGAUAAAGCUGAAGAUAUGAGUAAUUAAUAGGUUAGGUUAAGUUAGCUUACGAAAACGAUAAAGCUGAAGAUAUGAGUAAUUAAUAGGUUAGGUUAAGUUAGCUUACGAAAACGAUAAAGCUAAAUGGAUACAAGAGUAGUUAAUAGGUUAGGUUAGCUUAAAACAAUAAAGCUUAAUAGAUAUGAGUAAUUAAUAGGUUAGGUUAGCUUACGAAAACGAUAAAGCAAAAAAUAUGCAAUAGUAGUUAAUAGGUUAGGUUAGCUUAAAACAAUAAAGCUAAAUAGAUACGAGUAAUUAAUAGGUUAGGUUAGGUUACGAAAACGAUAAAGCUAAUGAUUUGCAAUAGUAGUUAAUAGGUUAGGUUAGCUUAAAACAAUAAAACUAAAUAGAUACGAGUAAUUAAUAGGUUAGGUUAGCUUACGAAAACGAUAAAGCUAAAUAUAUGCAAUAGUAGUUAAGAGGUUAGGUUAGCUUAAAACAAUAAAGCUAAAUAGAUACGAGUAAUUAAUAGGUUAGGUUAGCUUACGAAAACGAUAAAGCUAAUGAUUUGCAAUAGUAGUUAAUAGGUUAGGUUAACUUAAAACAAUAAAGCUUAAUAGA